AGUGAACGCUGGCGGUAGGCCUAACACAUGCAAGUCGAACGGCAGCACAGUAAGAGCUUGCUCUUACGGGUGGCGAGUGGCGGACGGGUGAGGAAUACAUCGGAAUCUACUUUUUCGUGGGGGAUAACGUAGGGAAACUUACGCUAAUACCGCAUACGUCCUACGGGUGAAAGCAGGGGAUCUUCGGACCUUGCGCGAUUGAAUGAGCCGAUGUCGGAUUAGCUAGUUGGCGGGGUAAAGGCCCACCAAGGCGACGAUCCGUAGCUGGUCUGAGAGGAUGAUCAGCCACACUGGAACUGAGACACGGUCCAGACUCCUACGGGAGGGAGCAGUGGGGAAUAUUGGACAAUGGGCGCAAGCCUGAUCCAGCCAUACCGCGUGGGUGAAGAAGGCCUUCGGGUUGUAAAGACCUUUUGUUGGGAAAGAAAAGCAGCAGGUUAAUACCCCGCUGUUCUGACGGUACCCAAAGAAUAAGCACCGGCUAACUUCGUG
rnacentral:rRNA from 1 species